CAGUAGCCGCGGUAAUACAGAGGGUGCGAGCGUUAAUCGGAUUUACUGGGCGUAAAGCGUGCGUAGGCGGCUUUUUAAGUCGGAUGUGAAAUCCCUGAGCUUAACUUAGGAAUUGCAUUCGAUACUGGGAAGCUAGAGUAUGGGAGAGGAUGGUAGAAUUCCAGGUGUAGCGGUGAAAUGCGUAGAGAUCUGGAGGAAUACCGAUGGCGAAGGCAGCCAUCUGGCCUAAUACUGACGCUGAGGUACGAAAGCAUGGAGCAAACAGGAUUAGAUACCCGAGUAGUCCCUGUCUCUUAUACAC
rnacentral:rRNA from 1 species